GUAAGGAAUAUUGGUCAAUGGAGGGAACUCUGAACCAGCCAUCCCGCGUGCAGGAUGAAGGGGCUCUGCCCUGUAAACUGCUUUUGAAUGGGACGAAAAAGCCUCACUUGUGAGGAACUGACGGUACCAUUAGAAUAAGCACCGGCUAACUCCGUGCCAGCAGCCGCGGUAAUACGGAGGGUGCAAGCGUUAUCCGGAAUCACUGGGUUUAAAGGGUGCGUAGGCGGUUGUAUAAGUCAGUGGUGAAAGGCCGUAGCUUAACUAUGGGAUUGCCAUUGAUACUGUAUGACUUGAAUGAGGUUGAGGUUGGCGGAAUGUGGCAUGUAGCGGUGAAAUGCUUAGAUAUGCCAUGGAACAUCGAUUGCGAAGGCAGCUGACUGGACCUGAAUUGACGCUGAGGCACGAAAGCGUGGGGAGCGAACAGGAUUAGAAACCCCUGUAGUCC
rnacentral:rRNA from 1 species